rnacentral:rRNA from 1 species
ACGCUCGACACCUACGUGAGGCAGCAGUGGGGAAUAUUGCACAAUGGGGGAAACCCUGAUGCAGCGACGCCGCGUGAAGGAAGAAGUAUUUCGGUAUGUAAACUUCUAUCAGCAGGGAAGAAACUGACGGUACCUGACUAAGAAGCACCGGCUAAAUACGUGCCAGCAGCCGCGGUAAUCUGAGCGGCUGGCAAGGC